UCUUUUGAUGAUUGUCAAAAGAUUCUUGACUAUUAUUCAUCAAAAUAUUUUCUGGGAAAAUUAUUGGAAGGAUCAUUUUAUGAGAAUUCAAUAACCACUGUCCUCUACUUAUAAAUAUCUCUGAAU
rnacentral:snoRNA from 1 species